CCCCUCGGGCAACUGAGGGGGGAAGUGGCGAAAGGGGCAGUAAGGCGUGGGUAACCUACCCCCGGGACGGGGAUAGCCUUCCUAACGGAAGGGUAAUACCCGGCGAGUCGUCGGGGUGGCAUCACCCUGACGGGAAAUGAGUCUCGCCUGGGGAGGGGCCCACGUAGUAUUAGCUUGUUGGCGGGGUAACGGCCCACCAAGGCCAAGAUGCUUAGCGGGUGUGAGAGCACGACCCGCGCCACUGGCACUGAGACACUGGCCAGACUCCUACGGGAGGCUGCAGUCGAGGAUCUUCGGCAAUGGGCGCAAGCCUGACCGAGCGACGCCGCGUGUGCGAUGAAGGCCUUCGGGUUGUAAAGCACUGUCGAGGGGGAGGAAAGCCUCUUUACGGGGGCCUGACCUAUCCCUGGAGGAAGCACGGGCUAAGUUCGUGCCAGCAGCCGCGGUAAGACGAACCGUGCGAACGUUGUUCGGAAUCACUGGGCUUAAAGGGCGCGUAGGCGGGCGACAAAGUCAGGGGUGAAAUCCGUCGGCUUAACCGGCGAAGGGCUUCUGAUACUGGUCGCCUCGAGGGAGGUAGGGGCAUGCGGAACUUCCGGUGGAGCGGUGAAAUGCGUAGAGAUCGGAAGGAACGCCGGUGGCGAAAGCGGCGUGCUGGACCUCUUCUGACGCUGAGGCGCGAAAGCCAGGGGAGCGAACGGGAUUAGAUACCCCGGUAGUCCUGGCCCUAAACGAUGGGUACUAGGUUGUGGACUGACAUGGGUUCACAGCCGGAGCAAAAGUGUUAAAGUA
rnacentral:rRNA from 1 species